GAGGUGGAGAAGGAGAGUAUCUCCUCUGUAUUGGAGGAGAGUAUCUUCUAGGAGAAGGUGAGCGCCGACGUGGGGGAGGAGAAGGAGUCCUAGGAAAAAGAUACAUAAUUAAGCUGAAAGGCUCAACAAAAUACAGAAACAGGAUGAAAAGUAAUCAGUAGGUUUGGCUAUACUGUAGUUAGCACUAGGCAAAGGGAAUAUAUUUAUAAGUGAACAUGCUAUCUUUAUAUUCUCACUUAAAUAUCAAUAAAACUUGUUUAUCUCAGCUGACUGCAACACAGGACACUGUCUGCAGGACUAAGUACAAAAAAGAAAAAAAGACAUUUUGAUUAACAAAAAUUUGCAAUUUUCAGAAGAUGUGAAUUUGUCAAUCUUUUAACAUCUAUACAAAAUUAACGUUUUUUGAAAACAGAAUCUUGCACUGUAUUAACUGAACAUCAGUUAUUAUAUAAUAACCAAGUAACUGUAUUAGCAAAACUCUAUUAUGGUCACCUUAGGAAGUCUGCACUUUAAAGAGGUCUCCUAUGUGGUAUCCUCUCUGAAUGAGCAUUUGGACACUGUAUGAAUAAUUAAGAGUUCACUGCACAAGCCUUAAAGACACUUCUACCUCCCCUCAAAGAGACUGUUCCAUUUUCUGUCUCAAAAGGCCACUUUUCAGGCCAAACUGCCUAAUUUCCUCUUGGAUAUUGCAGACUUUUAGAUCAAAGUAAAUUCCUGCCCAGAGUUAGCUUUACAAUAGGCCAUAUAUUUUGGCAAUGUGGUAGGGCACAAUUUCAUCACUGUAUCUGGGUAAUUACUUAGUAAUUCUCAACUCCCAUUUCCUCACCUGAAAAAUGCAAACAAUACCAACUAUCAAGCAAGGUCGCUUUGAAGACUAGUAGUAAAGCAUAUAAAGCACCUAGCACUUUGCCUGGCACUUAACAGGCAUUCAAGAGUGGCAGCCAGGCUGGGCAGAGUGGGUCACACCUGUCAUCCCAGCACUCUGGGAGGCUGAGGCGGAUCACCUGAGGUCAGGAGUUUGAGACCAGCCUGGCUACCAUGGUGAAACCUCAUCUCUACAAAAAAUACAAAAACUGGCUGGGUGUGGUGGCAGAUGCCUGUAAUCCCAGCUACUCGGGAGGCUGAGGCAGGAGAAUCGCUUGAACCCAGGAGGCGGAGGUUACAGUGAGCUGAGAUCGGCCACUGCACUCCAGCCUGGGUGACAGAGUGAGACUGUCUCAAAAAAAAAAAAAAAAAAAAAAAAAAAGAGUGGCAGCAUGUCAUUACAUUGCUUGGCAACAUAUCCGAGCAAUGACAUUAAAACAUUUUCCCCUAAUUUUCACUUUAAAAUAGUUGUAAAGAAGAGCUACAAAAAUAGGAGAUUUGCCACUUCACCAUGCUAAUAUUUUAUAUAACCAUAAGAAAAUUAGCAAAACUGUAAAAUGAACCUCAGUGAUAACUUAGUAUUACUAAAAUAGCAAACAACCCAGUUUUCCACUACUGAAUGUCCCUUUUCUGUUCCAGGACUUAAUCAAUGUUCCUUUUCUGCUCCAGGACCCUACAUCUCUUUAGUUCUUGCCAAUCUGUGACUGUUUCUGUCAUUGUCUUUCAUGACUGACACUUUUGAAUACUGGUCAGGUAUUCUGUAAAAUGACUUUCAAUUUGGGUUUGUCUGAUUAUUUCCUAAUAAUAAGACUGAGGUUUGGCAUAAUUGGUAAGCAUACUACAGAGGUAUCCAGGAAAUACACGAUGCCAAUGUUUUAUUGAGGAUGUUAUCUUUGAUUAUUUAGGUAAGAGAUAUCUGCCAGUAUCCUCUAAAUUUUCUCUUUACAAUUACUAGUCAAUACCAUCUUUUAAUGUAUUAACAUCUUUAUGACAAUACAUGAUUCACCUGCUAUAAAAUCUACCUAUUUACCCAUUUAAGGUCCAUUUAAAGUAUACAAUUAAAUGAUUUUAGUAUAUUCAUAUAGUUCUGCAGCUAUUACCAUCCCCAUGUCCACCCCACCCUAAUCUGUUUUCUAUCUCUAUAGAUUUGUGUAUUCUAGACUUUUCAUAUAGAUGGAAUCAUACGUGUUCUUUUAUGACUGGCUGAACAAUGCUAGUCUGCUUACUCUAAUAAGAUAUAAUCAUCAGAAAGAUUCAGAGAUCCUUUUGUAGUUCAUAAGCAUGAUGAUUGGGUUUUCACAUGCACACAUGAGCUGUGCCUCUCUCCAACCUUGUUAGGAAGUGAGCACCAUUACUCAUCUGAUGUUAUCAGGGGCGGGGGGAGUUGGGGAGAUGCUCCAGUUAGCAUAUUUGACAAAGUACCUUCGUCGUGGUGGUGGUGUGGGAGUCCUGCGCCGUCGAGGAGGAGGGGCGGGAGAAGGAGACCGUCGCCUUCUGGUGGGUGGUGGGGAUGGACUUCUCCUCCGUCUACCACUAAACCAAGAAGAAUUAUAGUUAAUUUUUUUUCUUUUUUUUGUGUGUGUGUGAUGGCGUCUCACUCUGUCGCCCAGGCUGGAGUGCAAUGGCAUGAUCUUGGCUCACUGCAACCUCCGCCUCCCAGGUUCAAGCAAUUCUCCCCCCUCAGCCUCCUGAGUAGUUGGGAUUACAGGCACCCAUAAUCAUGCCUGGCUAAUUUUUUAAAAUAUUUUUGUAGAGACGGAGUUUCACCAUGUUGGCCAAGCUGGUCUUGAACUCCUGACCUCAGGUGAUCUGCCUGCCUCAGCCUCCCAAAGUGCUGGGAUUAUAGGUGUGAGUUACCACGCCUGGCCUAUAUAGUUAACUUUGAGUCAGUGGCAUUUAUAGUUAAGUGACCCAGAAGACACGGUUUCAAUUAUCAUUAACCCCAAGGGCAGCAAUGGUUACUAAGUUUCAGAACAGUGUUUUUCAAACUACAGGUCAAGAUCAUCAGUCAAGACCCUGGGUGGCAGCAUUAAAAAACUUAAUAAAACCAGAGUGUUUUACUUGUGACAAGGGUAAGUACCGUUUUGUGAAAUUUUUCUUUUACUCUGGAUCACAAUACCAAACAUUCUUGACAUGACACAGAGUGAAAAAGUUCGGCAACAGCACAUAAGAGCACUGCUUUUUAUUGGGGAUGCACAUUAGAACCACCUAGGAAGCUUAUGUGAGAUUUAUGCCUACCAGGUCUGGGCUAAGGUCCAGCCAGGUGUUUUUGGGAAAGGCUCUCCAGGUGAUUCUAAUUCCUUAUUAGGAAUCAACUGCUUUAGAGACUCUAAUACAGAAAUUCAAAAAUGCCAAUAGUCACAAGUGGCUUAAGACCCAAGUCUGGACGUCUCUGCUCCAAGCUCUUAAUUUUUUUUGCCCAGGACAGGACUCAUGCUUCCUGUGAAUCUGGAAUUAUGUUUUGUCUUGGUUCCCGUUAGAAACUAAGAAAUCUCUGUUAACUGAACAGACAAAAUCCUAAAAGUCACCACUAAAUUUUUCAACUUAAAUCUGCUUAUGCUUUGUGGGGACUAAGACCUCACACUAAAUACAUAUAAAAUAUUCAAAACCAGGCUCUAUCUCCCCUUCUUUUCUUGAGACAGAGUCUCGCUCUGUUGCCCAGGCUGGAGUGCACUGGCACGAUCUGGGCUUACUGCAAGCUCUGCCUCCUGGGUUCACACCAUUCUCCUGCCUCAGCCUCCCAAGUAGCUGGGACUACAGGUGCCCGCCACCACACCCAGCUAAUUUUUUGUAUUUUUAGUAGAGACGGGGUUUCACCGUGUUAGCCAGGAUGGUCUUUAUCUCCUGACCUCGUGAACCACCCGCCUCGGCCUCCCAAAGUGCUGGGAUUACAGGCGUGAGCCUCUUUUUUUUUUUUUGAGACGGAGUUUUGCUCUUGUUGCCCAGGCUGGAGUGCAAUGGCACGAUAUCGGCUCACUGCAACCUCCACCUCCCGGAUUCAAACGAUUCUCCUGCCUGAGCCUCCCGAGUAGCUGGGACUACAGGCAUGCGCCACCACGCCCGGCUAACUUUUUUGUAUUUUUAGUAGAGAUGGGGUUCCGUCGUGUUGGCCAGGCUGGUCUCAAACGUCUGAUCUCAGGUGAUCCACCCAACUCAGCCUCCCAAAGUGCUGAGAUUACAGGCAUGAGCCACCGCACCCGGCCUCUAUCUCCCCUUCUAAAAUACGAUACUGAAGCAUAAUUCCAAAUAAUCCUUCCUCCAUCUCUAAAUCCUAGGAACCUGAUGGCAAUUUCUAAUGGCAUUAAACUUGAAGCUGCUGGUAUAUAACUUAAAAUACUUUUUAAAUGACGAGAAACAAAACAAAAACAUCCUGGAGUAGAGCAAUAAACAUUAGUGUUGAUUUUACUGCUGUGAGGAAUCUCUUUCCAGAACAGAAAGUAGUGCCAUAAUUUGGUGGGGGGGUGGGGAGGGAAGGGGAGAUGAAAGAGAAGAAAUUGCACCACUAAUCUAACUCUGUAAAGCAAUUGUUUAGUUGCUGUGCUAGCAACUUCACAAAAGCCAGAGAUAAUUAUAGCUGGGAAAGGAAUGCUUUAGCAGCCAAACUAAUCUUUUUUAGGUUUUUAUCUUUUAUUAUCAUGGAGCAGUUUCCUCCACAGUGUAAAUACCCCGUGCUUUGCUCCAUCACAAACACUGCUCACUGGUUCCUUUCCAAGAAAACACUCUUAUUGAUGAGAUUACCUAAAACAACACAGCUUCAAAAACUGAGCUACAAAAAGGACAGUGGGAUAGCUUCAGCAAGGAUAAAUACUUCAAAAUUCAGUGGCAGCUAAGGCCCCAAAAGCAGAAAGCUGGUUAAGACAGACUAGUGUAAUGCCAAAUGUAUAGGUCUAAGAUCCAACUUUGUCACUUUGCGGCCCUAAGAAACUACCCCAUCAGGGCCGCUAUCUUCUCACUUAUGAGAGUAAGGCCUGAAUUAGGGAUUUGGCUCUAAAAUUUUACAGUUUUAUGGUCACAGUGACACUAAUAAUCAAAAGUUUCAAUAAAGAUAUGCAGGUCGGGCCCAGUGGCUCAUGCCUGUAAUCCCAACACUUUGGGAGGCCGAGGCGGGUGGAUCACCUGACUUUAGGAGUUUGAGACCAUCCUGGCCAACAUGGCGAAAUCCCUUCUCUACUAAAAAUACAAAAAUUAGCUGGGCAUGGUGGCAUGUGCCUGUAGUCCCAGCUACUCAGGAGGCUGAGGCAGGAGAAUCGUUUGAACCUACAAAGCAGAAGUUGCAGUGAGCCGAGGUCGCACCAAUGCACCCCAGCCUGGGUGAUAGAGCCAGACUCCAUCUCAACAAAAA
rnacentral:lncRNA from 1 species